CCUACGGGCUGCAGCAGUGAGGAAUAUUGGUCAAUGGACGCAAGUCUGCACCAGCCAUGCCGCGUGCAGGAUGACGGCUCUAUGAGUUGUAAACUGCUUUUGUACGAGGGUAAACCCCGAUACGUGUAUCGGGAUGAAAGUAUCGUACGAAUAAGGAUCGGCAAACUCCGUGCCAGCAGCCGCGGUAAUUCGGAGGAUCCGAGCGUUAUCCGGAUUUAUUGGGUUUAAAGGGUGCGUAGGCGGUUUGAUAAGUUAGAGGUUAAAUGGCGGGACUCAACCCCGAAACUGCCUCUAAUACUGUUGGACUAGAGAAUAGUUGCGGUAGGCGGAAUGUAUGGUGUAGCGGUGAAAUGCUUAGAGAUCAUACAGAACACCGAUUGCGAAGGCAGCUUACCAAACUAUAUCUGACGUUGAGGCACGAAAGCGUGGGUAGCAAACAGGAUUAGAUACCCCAGUAGUC
rnacentral:rRNA from 1 species